rnacentral:lncRNA from 1 species
ACAAUGUGGUCAAGAGUAUUGUAUUAGAGAAAGACCGUAUUGCAUUUGUAAUCCUAAACUAAAUAGGUUAUCCACCUCUUCUGAUUAGCUUGGGUAACCAUGAUAUGCUGCUAGGUGUCACUCAUGGUUUGUGGAAGCCCUAAACGUGUGAAAUCACUAAAGGGAGAAUUGAAAGUAAGUUUCAGUUCACAAUCGAUUUGAAAUGGUUUUAAUCGCCCACUGCCUCGCUAAAAGGAACCUAAUGGAUCGUACAGCGUGUAAGGUAAUGAUUGAAGAAACAAUGGAAAUGAGUAAGAAUAAUUAAAUGGUUUAAUUAUUGAUGGCAAGGAUUAAUUAAUAUGUUAAUUAAUCAAAUGAAUAAGUUCGUUAAAGACCUUGGGAUAGUUUUGGACCUUAAGGCCCAAUGGGCUUCGAACGUCAAAGCCCAUGGACUUAAGUUGUAUGACAACUUAAUGAAUAAAGAUUCACAAGGGCCCAAAAGCCCAAAUCCCUUAAAGUGGCCGGCCAUGUUAGAAGAAUGGCCUUAUGGUUCUUUAGGUCACUUAUUUGAAGGGACUAUAUAAAGGACUUUAUAGCCAAAAUUCAAAAAAGGGUUCUUUUGGAGAAAAUUGGAGAUAACAUGUCUCUCCUUUUCUCUCUAGGAGGCCGGCCCCCUUGGAGGGAUUAGCUAGCAAUCCCACUCCUCCAAGGUCACUCAUUUCUUCUCCAAUCUAACCUUAGUGUGGAGACUUAGAGGUUCUCUAUUUUGAGAACUUGGAGAAACUUUUUCAUCCAUCCAAAUCCAUAGAUUUAAGAAGCAAGGAAUGAAGGCCCUCUCUUUGGGUGAUUAGCCUUUGCUUAUGCAAAGAGGAAUCUACAAAGGUAUAAAUCUCAACUCACUUUGUUUUUUAGUUGAGUCUUGGUUCACCAAUCUACUAGGCUUUUAAUUUCAUGGGUAAUGUUUUGUUUUUUAGUGCAUGCCAGCAUGAUUCCGCCUUUAAUUGUUAAUUGCAUGCUUAUAGAUGUUGCUCAAAUGAACAAGUUUUCACAAAAUCAUCCUUCAUACUCAUCUUCAACAUCUUAUGCUUCCAGAGAAGAUACCACAUCUGCCUAAGGAACAUAUAAGGCAAGUGAGAAGAAUACAAGGAAGCAUGUGGAGACAAGCGUAACGGAACACGUACCGAUACAUCCACUACUUUGUAACAGCAAAAGUAUCCCAUAUCAUCAGGGUCGAACGUACUUUACAUUUGAUGGACUUGUUUUGACCGUCAAAUUCUUGAGUCGACCUUAUACUCAGGAGGAAACCAGAAAACCCUCCAGCCCAGUUCAAGAAUAAGCCUAUGGAAAGUUACUUCUUCAAAAGCAAAAGUAUCUCAUAUCAUCUCUUCUCCAUUUGCUUCUCCUUAUCCUUGUUGCUGUUUAUGACACAAGGAGAAGGAGAACAAUCAACCGGAAGCCGAAGUCGAACCUCCGAUCCAGGUUGCUUGCUUGGAAGUCUGAUUACUUACCUUGUCUGUUACCUCCUUCGGCAAAUUUCCUAGCUCAGUGACUUGGAGGACUUCUACUAUAGGGUUUGUAUCGCACUUGACCAACCCGAAACUACAAGUAAGCUUCAAGUCAAAUUGAUACAUUACCUUGUGCAUCUUCAUCGGUUAAAGAUACCACCCUUGGAUGGAGGAAAAGUACUUCCAAAGAAGAUGCCACAUCUACAUAUGAGACAGAUAAGGCAAGUGAAAAUGAUACCACACUUCGGUACUUAGAAGUUUCGUGAUUACUCAAUGGCAUGGAUCUUGCAAGUCCCCAACCGAGGAGCUUCCCUCACUCGGGAACUUAGGGGAGCACUGUUAUACCGUCAAGGACCCAGAAGAGUUUCCCUCCAACUAGGAGGCUAAUCACAGCGCGACAUGUGUCGACAUCAGAAGCCACUCAUAUCACGACACGUGUCAACAUUAGAAGCCAAUCACAACACGACACGUGUUAAUGUCAGAAUGAAACUAGAAACUCUCUUCUAUAAAUGAUAGACGCAUAUUUAUGCGACUUAGUUAACUAGUUUUCUUGCAUUUACAUUAUUAGUUCUUAGUUAUUUUAGUACUUUAAGCCAUUUUCGUGUGUUUGUAGGUCCAAAGGGCUAAGGUAGCA